AUGCACGCUGGCGGCGUGCUUAACACCUGCAAGUCGAACGAAGCACUUUAUUUGAUUUCCUUCGGGACUGAUUAUUUUGUGACUGAGUGGCGGACGGGUGAGUAACGCGUGGGUAACCUGCCUUGUACAGGGGGAUAACAGUUGGAAACGGCUGCUAAUACCGCAUAAGCGCACAGCAUCGCAUGAUGCAGUGUGAAAAACUCCGGUGGUAUAAGAUGGACCCGCGUUGGAUUAGCUAGUUGGUGAGGUAACGGCCCACCAAGGCGACGAUCCAUAGCCGACCUGAGAGGGUGACCGGCCACAUUGGGACUGAGACACGGCCCAAACUCCUACGGGAGGCAGCAGUGGGGAAUAUUGCACAAUGGGCGAAAGCCUGAUGCAGCGACGCCGCGUGAGCGAAGAAGUAUUUCGGUAUGUAAAGCUCUAUCAGCAGGGAAGAUAAUGACGGUACCUGACUAAGAAGCACCGGCUAAAUACGUG
rnacentral:rRNA from 1 species